AUAACGGUUUCAUUUUAAACCACAUAGACAAAAUUGUAAAUUUUAU
rfam:Echinostoma caproni strain Egypt genome assembly, scaffold: ECPE_contig0013315